CAAUAGCGUAUAUUAAAGUUGUUGCGGUUAAAAAGCUCGUAGUUGGAGUUCUGCCAGGUGACGCUCGUCCGCCCAAGUGGUGUGUACAGGGCGUGCAUCUGGCCCUUUCAAGGGGAACGUGUCUGCACUUUACUGUGUGGUGCGAGAUCCUUGACUUUUACUUUGAGGAAAUCAGAGUGUUCCAAGCAGGCUCUCGUCGUGUAUAGCUCAGCAUGGAAUAAUAGCAUUGGACUUCGUUUCUAAGCUGUUGGUUGCAAGAAGCGAGGUAAUGAUGAAGAGGGAUAGUUGGGGGCAUUCGUAUUUAACUGUCAGGGGUGAAAUUCUUGGAUUUGUUAAAGACGGACUACUGCGAAAGCAUCUGCCAUGGAUGUUUUCAUUGA
rnacentral:rRNA from 1 species